CAACCAAAAGGUAUAAUAUACAUAUAGCUAAAAAAUUUAAAAUUCGAUUUGAAAGCUGUCUCGUUAAGUGUUGACAAAUGCAUUUAAAACACAAAUGUGUAACCGAAACUAAUGGAUAUUUUAGAUUAACUAGAUUUGAUGCACAUAUAGUCUCAGUCAUGCAAAUUAAGAACCAAAGAAAUACCAUUUUUGGCAUUCAAAUGUCAUACGUUUGCCUAUUUAAACAAUUAGUUUGCGUCAAUUGUUCCCUCACUUCACAAACAUUAAGAUGCAGAUCGGUUUAAACAUCAUUUGUCUAUACCUAUUCAGUAUGUUCGGUGGUAACUGGAGAAUCAAUCCAAUACUAAACCUUGAAGUCAAUAUUAAUCUUCAUGAAAAUCCGCACCCCUUUCAGAGAUAAAUGUGUUUUGGAAGAAUCUUGAGAAGAAAGCCGACCAUUUCUACAAAAUGUGGAAAAAGUUUUAAAUUUUUCAGCUUUGUAUCCAAAAAAAAAGAAGUGCAACGCGUUUUUUUUUACCAUAUAGCAAUUAGACUAUAAGUCAUAACAAAUAUAUAUUUAAAUGAUGUCUGAUUGUUAAUGUGGCAAUAAAAUUGAUUUUACUUUUA